CGUCCGGCGGCCGUGGGAGGAUCGACGGUGG
rnacentral:misc_RNA from 1 species